rnacentral:tRNA from 1 species
AUACCUCUGGUGUAAAGGAAACAUAACGGUCUCCAAAACCGUUGCUCUCAGUUCGAUUCUGAGGAGGUAUGCCA